rnacentral:rRNA from 2 species
AGCAGCCGCGGUAAUUCCAGCUCCAAUAGCGUAUAUUAAAGUUGUUGCAGUUAAAAAGCUCGUAGUUGAAUUUCGGGGUCAGUAGGUUGGUCGUGCCACCGGUACGUACUGGUCUCACUGAUUCCUCCUUCCUGAUGAGCUGUAAUGCCAUUAAUUUGGUGUUGCAGGGAAUCUGGACUGUUACUUUGAAAAAAUUAGAGUGUUUAAAGCAGGCUAACGCUUGAAUACAUUAGCAUGGAAUAAUGAAAUAGGACGUUCGAUCCUAUUUUGUUGGUUUCUAGGAUUGACGUAAUGAUUAAUAGGGAUAGUUGGGGGCAUUAGUAUUCAAUUGUCAGAGGUGAAAUUCUUGGAUUUAUUGAAGACUAACUACUGCGAAAGCAUUUGCCAAGGAUGUUUUCAUUAAUCAAGAACGAAAGUUAGGGGAUCGAAGACGAUCAGAUACCGUCGUAG